rnacentral:rRNA from 1 species
UACGUAGGGCGCAAGCGUUAUCCGGAAUUAUUGGGCGUAAAGAGCUCGUAGGCGGUUUGUCGCGUCUGCCGUGAAAGUCCGGGGCUCAACUCCGGAUCUGCGGUGGAUACUGGCGGACUUGAGGGAGGUAGAGGAGAGUGGAAUUCCCGGUGUAGUGGUGAUAUGCGUAGAUAUCGGGAGGAACACCAGUGGCGAAGGCGGCUCUCUGGGCCUUUCCUGACGCUGAGACGCGAAAGCGUGGGGAGCGAACCGG